UCAAAAAUAAGCUAAUAAAGCUGAAGAGCUCAUGACUCUUUGAUAGGGUAACCUUUUUUGGAU
rnacentral:tRNA from 1 species